rnacentral:rRNA from 1 species
UACGUAGGGAGCAAGCGUUGUCCGGAAUCAUUGGGCGUAAAGCGCGCGUAGGCGGCCCGGUAAGUCCGUUGUGAAAGUCAAAGGCUCAACCUUUGAACGCCGAUGGAUACUGCCGGGCUAGAGUCCGGAAGAGGCGAGUGGAAUUCCUGGUGUAGCGGUGGAAUGCGCAGAUAUCAGGAGGAACACCAAUAGCGAAGGCAGCUCGCUGGGACGGUACUGACGCUGAGGCGCGAAAGCGUGGGGAGCGAACAGG